GCAGUGGAGGUUCAGUGGUAGAAUUCCCACCUUCCAUGUGGGAGAGUCGGGUUCAAUUCCUGGCCAGUGCA
rnacentral:tRNA from 1 species